rnacentral:rRNA from 1 species
CCUACGGGAGGCAGCAGUGAGGAAUAUUGGUCAAUGGGCGCGAGCCUGAACCAGCCAAGUCGCGUGAAGGAUGACUGCCCUACGGGUUGUAAACUUCUUUUAUAAAGGAAUAAAGUGAGGCACGUGUGCCUUGUUGUAUGUACUUUAUGAAUAAAGAUCGGCUAACUCCCUGCCAACAGCCGCGGUAAUACGGAGGAUUCGAGCGUUUUCCGGAUUUAUUUGGUUUAAAGGGAGCGUAGAGGGGUUGUUAAGUCAGUUGGGAAAGUUUGAGGCUCAACCGUAAAAUGGCAAUUGAUACUGGCAGCCUUGAGUACAGGUGAGGUAGGCGGAAUUCGUGGUGUAGCGGUGAAAUGCUUAGAUAUCACGAAGAACUCCGAUUGCGAAGGCAGCCUACUAACCUGCCACUGACAUUGAUGCUCGAAAGUGUGGGUAUCAAACAGGAUUAGAUACCCGUGUAGUC